ACACUUACCUGGCAGGGGAGAUACUGUGAUCACUGAAGUGAUUUUCCCAGGGCAAGCUUGUCCCUUGCACUCCUGAUGUGCUGACCCGUGUGAUUUCCCCGAGCAUGGGAAAUUUGGCUGCAUAAUUUGUGGUAGCGCGGGACUUCAUCCGCGCUGUCCCCUA
ensembl:snRNA U1 U1 spliceosomal RNA